GGCCGGCUGGGAAGUUCGCCUGUUCGGCGACCCGUUUCUUUUGGACGCAGCCUGUUUGUGGGCUCCUGCGUAUUCUUCCGUUUCUUGUGCACUUCGAUACGGCGCCACUGCACGAUUGGGAUACGGUAAGAACGUGUCCACUUCAUCCGCCACUGCGCCUGCAAAGCGAACACUGCAAUGACAUGGGCUUGGGCUACCCGAGACUCCUCUGCGCAUACUCCUCCCUCUCCAUGCUCCUCGUCUUCGUCACAGCGACAGGAACAAGAAGCAAUGUCCUGUACGUCGACGGGGCAAUUGAAUGUGCGGAUUACUGGUGCCUCCCUCGUCCAAAUGAAGCAGUCGUGUUUGGCUACGAUGGAAGACGAAAUCACGUGACAAGAAAGGAGUAGGGGGUUGCUCUUGACAAAUGAUGCAUUAGCCUCGAGUAUAUUACAUGACAGGGCCCGCAAUAUUAUAGUACGUCGUGGAGUGUGUUAGGGUCCAUGUCAAAUAUAUAAAUAACCAUUAUGUCUGCAGCAAUAGAGAAAAUAAACUUUUUUGUGCUUUCGGA